rnacentral:rRNA from 1 species
GCUUGUCUCAAAGAUUAAGCCAUGCAUGUCUAAGUAUAAACAGUUUAUACUGUGAAACUGCGAAUGGCUCAUUAAAUCAGUUAGAGUUUAUUUGAUGGUACCACACUACUCGGAUAACCGUAGUAAAGCUACAGCUAAUACGUGCGUAACUCCCGACUCAAGAAGGGACGUAUUUAUUAGAUUCAAGGCCGACCGUGCUUGCACGUUUUUGGUGAAUCAUGGUAACUUCACGAAUCGCAGGGCUUGCCCCGGCGAUGUUUCAUUCAACUUUCUGCCCUAUCAACUUUCGACGGUAGUAUAGAGGACUACCGUGGUGGUAACGGGUGACGGAGGAUUAGGGUUCGAUUCCGGAGAGGGAGCCUGAGAAACGGCUACCACAUCCAAGGAAGGCAGCAGG